rnacentral:rRNA from 1 species
UACGGAGGGGGCAAGCGUUGUUCGGAAUUACUGGGCGUAAAGGGCGCGUAGGUGGCCAACUAAGUCAGACGUGAAAUCCCUCAGCUUAACUGGGGAACUGCGUCUGAUACUGGAUGGCUUGAGUUUGGGAGAGGGAUGCGGAAUUCCAGGUGUAGCGGUGAAAUGCGUAGAUAUCUGGAGGAACACCGGUGGCGAAGGCGGCAUCCUGGACCAACACUGACACUGAUGCGCGAAAGCCAGGGGAGCAAACGGG